GAAAGUGCUGCUAAUACCGGAUAAAGUCAGCGGGCCGCAUGGCUCGUCGACCAAAGGUGGGGACCUUCGGGCCUGCCGGUCUUGGAGCGGUUCAUGUCCUAUCAGCUUGUUGGUGAGGUAACGGCUCACCAAGGCUGCGACGGGUAGCGGGACUGAGAGGUUGGCCCGCCACAUCGGGACUGAGACACUGCCCGGACACCUACGGGUGGCUGCAGUAACGAAUAUUGGGCAAUGGGCGCAAGCCUGACCCAGCAAUGCCGCGUGCAGGAGGAAGCCCUUCGGGGUGUAAACUGCUGUCAGGGGCUAGCAAGCAACGGGUGUGAAUAGCACCCCGCGCUGAGCCGCCCCAGAGGAAGCCUCGACUAACUCUGUGCCAGCAGUCGCGGUAAGACAGAGGAGGCUAGCGUUGUUCGGAAUCAUUGGGCUUAAAGCGGGUGUAGGCGGCUUGUCAAGUGUCUUGUGAAAGCCCACGGCUCAACCGUGGAAUUGCAGGGCAAACUGGCAGGCUUGAGGUCGGUAGGGGUGUCUGGAACUCUAGGUGGAGCGGUGAAAUGCGUAGAUAUCUAGAGGAACGCCAGAGGCGAAAGCGGGGCACUGGGCCGAUUCUGACGCUGAGACCCGAAAGCGUGGGGAGCAAACAGGAUUAGAUACCCUGGUAGUCCACGCCGUAAACGAUGCACACUAGACGUCGGAGGUUCUGACACCAUCGGCGUUGGAGCAAAAGUAUUAAGUGUGCCGCCUGGGGAGUACGGCCGCAAGGCUAAAACUCAAAGGAAUUGACGGGGGCUCACACAAGCGGUGGAGCAUGUGGCUUAAUUCGAAGCAACGCGAAGAACCUUACCCAGGUUUGACAUGCUAGGAUGCAAACGGGUAAUGCCGGGCGCUGCCCUUCGGGGUGAACUAGCACAGGUGUUGCAUGGCUGUCGUCAGCUCGUGCUGUGAAGUGUCGGGUUAAGUCCCUUAACGAGCGAAACCCUUGUCGCUAGUUGCCAGCGGGUCAUGCCGGGGACUCUAGCGAGACUGCCGGCGUUAAGCCGGAGGAAGGUGGGGAUGACGUCAAGUCAUCAUGGCCUUUAUGCCUGGGGAUGCACACGUGCUACAAUGGCCGGGACAGAGCGAAGCAAUACCGCGAGGUGGAGCAAAUCGCAAAACACCGGCCCCAGUUCGGAUUGGAGUCUGCAAUUCGACUCCAUGAAGUUGGAAUCGCUAGUAAUCGCGUAUCAGCUAUGACG
rnacentral:rRNA from 1 species